UUGUCUCCUGUGUGAUUCUGGAUCCUGUUGCCAGUCAAUAUUAGCCACCACAGAGCUUUCUCAUUUAGCCUAGUUUUUAGUAUUACAUAUCUAAAAUGAUGCUUUUAAUGGCAUCUCAAAAGGUACUGCCUAUGUGCUAUAUCCUUCUGUAAUGCUUAGUCCUUUGUUUUCCCUAGAGUAUCUAGAAUGGCUAAGAACGCUCAAAUACCAUUGUAGGGUUCUCAUUAAGCUUUCACUGCUAAGCCUAACUUCUCAGCCUCUUCUUUUGAAAUUCUAACCCCAUAGACUUUGGACCCCACAGAGAAGUGUAUCACAGGGCUGUAGAUUGUGAAUCCUUGCUCCUUUGACAGAUAAGGGAAUGGCAGCUUCACUGCUCCAGUUGACAUUCUUCUGCUUACCGACCUGCCAAUCGUUUCCCCUGCUCCUCCCUCACACUUGCAUCUGUUUUGUGAGUUGCAAAUUCCUAUACGGUGUGCAACUUUACAUUGUAUUUUGCACAGUUCAGUUGAUAAAUGGUCUAAUUUAUUUCUAUAUGUUUUUAUUGUUUCUUUCGAAAUGGAGCUCUCAUGUAGCCCUGACUGGUUUCAAGCAUAGUAUGUUCCUAAGGCUGGCCUUGAACUUUUAAUCCUCCUGCCUCACCUCCCGAGUGCAGGGAUUACACAAUGCCUGGCUUAACCUUUAAGUGUGUAUGAGUCAGUAUGUGUGCAAUUAUCUGCCAAACGCAUAAUUUGCCUUUUAUUUUGCUUAUGGCAUUUCUGGUCUGAUAGGUAUUUUUGAUUGAAAUCAAACCAGAUAUUCUUCCUCAUUCUGGUAAUGGCACAUGAGGACAGACUUGCUUGUCCAGCCUAUGAGAGUCUCCAGAUUUACUGUCUAAAACUACAGAAAUAGGAAAAAAGAAUGAUGCUUCUGACUGUGCAUUAUGAUGAGAAAAAUAUUCCUCUCCAGUGAACCAUUUCAGUUUCUUUAUUAUUUUGCAGUUUAACUUUAAACAAUUAAUUGUUCAUUUGAGUAUUAACUUGCCUUGGGGUACUGUAGGAGAGCCUGGCAUUAUUGUUUUGUUUUGUUUUUUUCCCUUCAGAUAGUUGAUAAAAUGUACUGGAACUCUUCUUUAAAUAAUCCUAGCUUUAUUGCUAAUUUAAAAUGUUCUUUUUCAUUAUGAACCAAAUUAUGAGUACUGAGGUCAGAAUUUUAAUUUUUUUCAGCUUUAGUGUUUCUACUAUCAGGCUGUGCAGGGUCUCAGCUUGAAUUUCCCUUUAUUCUCUUACUUCCCUUUCCUUCCUUUUCAUUUCAAAAUUGUUUUAGUCACUCUCAUUUUUCAGGGGAUGUUUCAAGCAGUUCUAUAAAAUUUUCAAGUCAUAUUUUAUUAGAAUUAGAUAGUAUUUCUGAAUAAAUUUAAGGCUGGUAUCUUAGUUAGAGUUUCAAUUGCUAUGAAGAGAUACCAUGACCAAGGCAACUCUU
rnacentral:lncRNA from 1 species